GUUGUGGUGAAUGCUUUAAGAUAGAUGUUAAUGUGUUCAUUACUAAUUUUGAAUGGUUAAACACCAAUUAUAGUGCUUAUGGGCUAAAGCAUGAUGUGUUAAUAUAUAUAUUUUUUUUCCUUCAUGAAUUAUUCUCUGCUGAAAACUUGUUAGGAAAUGAUGUUCUGGUACGAGGCUAAUUUAGAGUGCAUGCACACUUUUUGAUUACAUUAAUUUAUCUUUGGUUGGUAUGGUUCAAUGAGUUGGCUGUUUGUUUAUUACUGACUACAUUAUAACUCUGUUUACAUGGUUUAACAUGAUUCUUCUAGUGGUCUCCUCAUCCUUCUCAUUUUUUUGGUCUGUACAUG
rnacentral:misc_RNA from 1 species